UAGGAUCAAUGAUGUUAUGAAUAAACUGCGUUAUCUAUCUGAUUAAUUCCCUCAAAAGGGACUGAAGAUAGCUACACCAUGCUGAGAUCCAUG